AACGAACGCUGGCGGCGCGUUUUAAGCAUGCAAGUCGGACGGUAGGCGAGUGGCAACACUUGCUGAGAGUGGCGAACGGGUGAGUAACACGUAGACAAUCUGGCCCUGGGACAGGGAUAGCUCAUGGAAACAUGGGGUAAUACCUGGUGAGGUCCUGGAGACUGAGGUAUUUGGGAUGAAAGGCUUCAAUUGGAGCGCCUGGGGGUGAGUCUGCGGUCCAUUAGCUAGUUGGUGAGGUAACGGCCCACCAAGGCAACGAUGGAUAGCCGGCUUGAGAGGGUGAACGGCC
rnacentral:rRNA from 1 species